AUUGAACGCUGGCGGCAUGCUUUACACAUGCAAGUCGGACGGCAGCACAGAGAAGCCUGCUUCUUGGGUGGCGAGUGGCGAACGGGUGAGUAACAUAUCGGAACGUACCGAGCAGUGGGGGAUAACUAAUCGAAAGAUUAGCUAAUACCGCAUAUUUUCUGAGGAAGAAAGCAGGGGACCUUUGGGCCUUGCGCUGUUUGAGCGGCCGAUAUCUGAUUAGCUAGUUGGUGGGGUAAAGGCCUACCAAGGCGACGAUCAGUAGCGGGUCUGAGAGGAUGAUCCGCCACACUGGGACUGAGACACGGCCCAGACUCCUACGGGAGGCAGCAGUGGGGAAUUUUGGACAAUGGGCGCAAGCCUGAUCCAGCCAUGCCGCGUGUCUGAAGAAGGCCUUCGGGUUGUAAAGGACUUUUGUCAGGGAAGAAAAGGGCGGGGUUAAUACCCCUGUCUGAUGACGGUACCUGAAGAAUAAGCACCGGCUAACUACGUG
rnacentral:rRNA from 1 species